GACGAACGCUGGCGGCGUGCUUAACACAUGCAAGUCGAACGGAAAGGCCCUGCUUUUGUGGGGUGCUCGAGUGGCGAACGGGUGAGUAACACGUGAGUAACCUGCCCUUGACUUUGGGAUAACUUCAGGAAACUGGGGCUAAUACCGGAUAGGAGCUCCUGCUGCAUGGUGGGGGUUGGAAAGUUUCGGCGGUUGGGGAUGGACUCGCGGCUUAUCAGCUUGUUGGUGGGGUAGUGGCUUACCAAGGCUUUGCCGGGUAGCCGGCCUGCGAGGGUGACCGGCCACAUUGGGACUGAGAUACGGCCCAGACUCCUACGGGAGGCAGCAGUGGGGAAUAUUGCACAAUGGGCGGAAGCCUGAUGCAGCAACGCCGCGUGCGGGAUGACGGCCUUCGGGUUGUAAACCGCUUUCGCCUGUGACGAAGCGUGAGUGACGGUAAUGGGUAAAGAAGCACCGGCUAACUACGUG
rnacentral:rRNA from 1 species